GAAGCUCGUUUCUACGGGUGCCU
rnacentral:miRNA from 1 species